UUACAACUUGCUUUAAUCACAAUGGUAAAAUACAUAGGCCCGCAAUGUGUAUAAUUAAGUUAUACAGUUGCUUAUAUUUUUUUCUCGUAAGAAAUACAAGGCUGCCCGAGAACUUAAGUAGUCAUAUUGCUGUUUUCCCGAGUUCCUGACAUAGGUGUAUUUUUUUGUCUUGGUAAACGGUGUAUAUCUCUGUGUUAUUUUAUGUAAUCGCAGUUAUCACAACAAGCAUUCAACCACCAUAGUCAAUAUUUAUUAUUUUGGCAGUGGUGUUGUUAUAAUAUUUUGAUUUGUGGUUUAAUUUUUUAUUUUUAUAGUACCUACACUAUUGUUAAUUCGUGUUCUAAAAUAAAUUGGAAUAAUAUGCUCUUAGUAAUAGUUUAGAAAUGUAUCCAAACGACGUAUGUAAUUUAUUUUUUAUUUAUUUGUGCUGAUAUAAAUAGAAAUUCAUGACUAUCGUCCCAUGAUGGCAGCGUUGGGCCCUAAAGGCCCGUUAAGUUUAAUGAGGAUGAUAAAUAGAAAUUAUUUUGUAUUAGGUUGCGUGGUAUAUUUUACACUUCUUGUUUUUUUUAUCAAUAAAGUGUUAGACUUAUACUCAAGUUUUAUUUUGAAGAAUGUUAUUGAAAACAGCCACAUCAGGUUUUUAUCGUAAUGAUAACGAUCAACAUGCUACUGCGAGGGAAUUUAUUUAAAAAUUGCAGAAAGGUCAUUAUAUCCGAAAUGAUGAUGGGGAAAAAAUUGAAGUAUCGAGAAUUUUUCAAAAAGCAAUACAUCAAAGAAACAAAAAAUGUUGAACUGGCCUGGUCCAUUGCGAACAAAUGCUUUGUUUGUAUAACCCAGUAUCUUAUAAUAAUAAGAAAACUCAACACUAAAACCUCAAAUGAAAAUGACAAAUGAGAAGUAUAUUGCAGCAGAAGAAUCUAAUAUGGAUGGGGAAUUUGCUGAUAAAUGUAUGAUAGUGAAGUAGAAGAGAAAGUGGCAUUGUCCGAAUUUCUAUAUUCAGAAGACAAAAAAGAAUAAAUAGAAGUUAUGUAUCAAAUCUCUAAUUAUAAUAUGGCAAAGAAGAAAUUGGCGAAAUACAAAACAACAUCUCAUAUGUUUUUAUUUUUUUAUUAUUCAGUUUUAUUUUUGUAUCAUCAAAAAAUAAGAUACAAAAUCUUAACUGUGACUAGGAUUUUUAUUUCAGUAACAAUGUACCAAUAAGAAUGAAGAACAAGAAUUUGAAGAU